rnacentral:pre_miRNA from 1 species
UAAGUUUGGAAUGUCCCUAGUUUGACUGAGAGACCGGUGCAUAACCUUAACUCUUGGUCUCUCAGUCAAACUAGGGACAUUCCAAACUUAAGU